GGCAGGAUCAAAAGCAGCUCCUGCAUGGGGACGCCGUGUCCUCCUGCUGUUAUCAUAGUAUGCCCUGUGCUCCCAGGAGGAGGCUGAGAUCAUAAAGGGCAUUGUGGCACCUACCUUGAUUUCUCUUGGAUCACUCAUUCUGAGGGAAGAUAGCUGCCAUGUUGGGAGGACGUGCAAGCAGCCCUGUGAAGAGGUCAACACAGGGGGGAACUGAAGCCCCUUCCAAACAGCUAGCACCAACUUGCCAGCCAUGUAAAGUGAUUCACCUUGGAAACAGAUCCUCCAGCCUCAGCCAAGCCUUCAGAUGCAACCUCAUGACAGACUCUGAACCAG
rnacentral:lncRNA from 1 species